rnacentral:rRNA from 1 species
GCGAACCGUCCAUGUUGUUCCUUUGCUGCUGCUGCUGCCGCCGGUGACUCCAUCCCGUCCACCGCGUACAUGGUCGACGGGAGAGCAGGUCUCUGAAACCCCGUCUCUCAAGUUCCUGUACGGGAGAGAGGCGAAUAGGCCUUUGGGAAGCGACUAUGCGACUGCUCGCCUCUGAAUCACUACUUCCUCUACGUCUGUGUCAUCUCCAUCAUCACCAUAUCGACCGACGCUGAACGUGCCGCCGCCGAGAAGAUCGAGACCGACAAGAAGGCUGCCGAGGAUACCGAUGCUGCUGUCACUUCCGCCGUGGCUUCUGCCUGGCCUACUAGAGGCUUCUAGCGCGAACCGUCUGAUUCAGUGUCAAAUCGCGCGGCGGAGGGAAAAUGGACUUUUGGGGAUCGGAAGAAAUUGAAGAAAAACGGGGCGCAUAGAUUUGUGGACAAGUGCCCCAUGCAUAUUUUGUAAGUCAUAAUAAGGAGAACAAUAUAUAGAAGUAGUAGCAAUGCGUAUCCA